rnacentral:tRNA from 1 species
AGCGGGGUAGAGUAUUGGUAACUCAACAGUCUCAUAAGCUGUCGCAUGCUGGUUCGAUUCCAGCCCAUCGCUACAA